GUAUUUAGCCGUCGCUUCUUCUGUGGGUACCGUCAGGUUUUUCGUCCCCACUGAAAGCACUUUACAUACCGAAAUACUUCUUCGUGCACACAGAAUUGCUGGAUCAGACUUUUGGUCCAUUGUCCAAUAUUCCCCACUGCUGCCUCCCGUAGGAGUCUGGACCGUGUCUCAGUUCCAGUGUGGCCGAUCAGCCUCUCAGCUCGGCUACCCAUCGCUGACUUGGUGGGCCGUUACCCCGCCAACUAUCUAAUGGGACGCGAACCCCUCCAAUUGCGGAUUGCUCCUUUGACCUCAUCCCGAUGCCGGGUCGUGGUCUUAUGCGGUAUUAGCACUUGUUUCCAGGUGUUAUCCCCCUCAACUGGUCAGGUUGUUCACGCGUUACUCACCCGUUCGCCACUAAGCUAUAUCCGAAAACAUAGCUCCGUUCGACUUGCAUGUGUUAGGCACGCCGCCAGCGUUCGUCCUGAGCCAGGAUCAAACUCUGA
rnacentral:rRNA from 1 species